rnacentral:rRNA from 1 species
CUUUCUUUGCUGGCGACCGGCGCACGGGUGAGUAACACGUAUCCAACCUGCCCUUACUCGGGGAUAGCCUUUCGAAAGAAAGAUUAAUACCCGAUAGCAUAAUGAUUCCGCAUGGUUUCAUUAUUAAAGGAUUCCGGUAAAGGAUGGGGAUGCGUUCCAUUAGGUUGUUGGUGAGGUAACGGCCCACCAAGCCUUCGAUGGAUAGGGGUUCUGAGAGGAAGGUCCCCCACAUUGGAACUGAGACACGGUCCAA